rnacentral:rRNA from 1 species
GUGCCAGCAGCCGCGGUAAUACGAACUGUGCGAACGUUAUUCGGAAUCACUGGGCUUACAGGGUGCGUAGGUGGCCGGACAAGUCAGGUGUGAAAUCCCUCAGCUCAACUGAGGAACUGCGCUUGAAACUGUUUGGCUAGAGUGAGCUAGGGGUGCUUGGAACUGCCAGUGGAGCGGUGAAAUGUGUUGAUAUUGGCAGGAACACCGGAGCCGAAAGGGAAGCACUGGGGCUUAACUGACACUGAGGCACGAAAGCCAGGGGAGCAAACGGGAUUAGAUACCCCCGUAGUCC